UUAAAUUGAAGAGUUUGAUCAUGGCUCAGAUUGAACGCUGGCGGCAGGCCUAACACAUGCAAGUCGAACGGUAACAGGAAGAAGCUUGCUUCUUUGCUGACGAGUGGCGGACGGGUGAGUAAUGUCUGGGAAACUGCCUGAUGGAGGGGGAUAACUACUGGAAACGGUAGCUAAUACCGCAUAACGUCGCAAGACCAAAGAGGGGGACCUUCGGGCCUCUUGCCAUCGGAUGUGCCCAGAUGGGAUUAGCUAGUAGGUGGGGUAACGGCUCACCUAGGCGACGAUCCCUAGCUGGUCUGAGAGGAUGACCAGCCACACUGGAACUGAGACACGGUCCAGACUCCUACGGGAGGCAGCAGUGGGGAAUAUUGCACAAUGGGCGCAAGCCUGAUGCAGCCAUGCCGCGUGUAUGAAGAAGGCCUUCGGGUUGUAAAGUACUUUCAGCGGGGAGGAAGGGAGUAAAGUUAAUACCUUUGCUCAUUGACGUUACCCGCAGAAGAAGCACCGGCUAACUCCGUGCCAGCAGCCGCGGUAAUACGGAGGGUGCAAGCGUUAAUCGGAAUUACUGGGCGUAAAGCGCACGCAGGCGGUUUGUUAAGUCAGAUGUGAAAUCCCCGGGCUCAACCUGGGAACUGCAUCUGAUACUGGCAAGCUUGAGUCUCGUAGAGGGGGGUAGAAUUCCAGGUGUAGCGGUGAAAUGCGUAGAGAUCUGGAGGAAUACCGGUGGCGAAGGCAGCCCCCUGGACGAAGACUGACGCUCAGGUGCGAAAGCGUGGGGAGCAAACAGGAUUAGAUACCCUGGUAGUCCACGCCGUAAACGAUGUCGACUUGGAGGUUGUGCCCUUGAGGCGUGGCUUCCGGAGCUAACGCGUUAAGUCGACCGCCUGGGGAGUACGGCCGCAAGGUUAAAACUCAAAUGAAUUGACGGGGGCCCGCACAAGCGGUGGAGCAUGUGGUUUAAUUCGAUGCAACGCGAAGAACCUUACCUGGUCUUGACAUCCACAGAACUUUCCAGAGAUGGAUUGGUGCCUUCGGGAACUGUGAGACAGGUGCUGCAUGGCUGUCGUCAGCUCGUGUUGUGAAAUGUUGGGUUAAGUCCCGCAACGAGCGCAACCCUUAUCCUUUGUUGCCAGCGGUCCGGCCGGGAACUCAAAGGAGACUGCCAGUGAUAAACUGGAGGAAGGUGGGGAUGACGUCAAGUCAUCAUGGCCCUUACGACCAGGGCUACACACGUGCUACAAUGGCGCAUACAAAGAGAAGCGACCUCGCGAGAGCAAGCGGACCUCAUAAAGUGCGUCGUAGUCCGGAUUGGAGUCUGCAACUCGACUCCAUGAAGUCGGAAUCGCUAGUAAUCGUGGAUCAGAAUGCCACGGUGAAUACGUUCCCGGGCCUUGUACACACCGCCCGUCACACCAUGGGAGUGGGUUGCAAAAGAAGUAGGUAGCUUAACCUUCGGGAGGGCGCUUACCACUUUGUGAUUCAUGACUGGGGUGAAGUCGUAACAAGGUAACCGUAGGGGAACCUGCGGUUGGAUCACCUCCUUACCUUAAAGAA
rnacentral:rRNA from 1 species